GGGCGAAUGGUUUAGUGGUAUAAUACUCCCUUAGCAUGAUUCAUCCAGAAUAAUCUGGGAGUGGUCCAGGGUUCGAUUCCCUGUUCGUCCA
rnacentral:tRNA from 1 species